CAACGUUGGCUCAAAGGUAGAGCAUCGGACGAAAUACUCCGAAGAUUGCGGGUUCGACCCCCGCACGUUGCA
rnacentral:tRNA from 1 species